rnacentral:rRNA from 1 species
UACAGAGGGUGCGAGCGUUGUUCGGAAUUACUGGGCGUAAAGCGCGCGCAGGCGGCCUUUUAAGUCUGACGGUGAAAUGCCGGGGCUCAACCCCGUGCCCGCCGGAGAUACUGGGAGGCUGGAGACGAGUAGAGGCAAGCGGAAUUCCGGGUGUAGCGGUGGAAUGCGUAGAGAUCCGGAAGAACACCGGAGGCGAAGGCGGCUACCUGGACAAUUGCUGACGCUCAGGCACGAAAGCGUGGGGAGCAAAAGGG